ACUCAAUAGAAUACUACAAAUAGCAAAUUUCAGCAUGAAAAAUAUUAGAAUCAAUUUAGAAUUGUUUCUGGAUAAACUUUUUCUUUUUUACUGAACCAACUCAUUUGAAACCUUGGUGAUAAGUUUCUUAUAUUUCAAAGGAAGGAAAUAAUUUCUAGGAGUACAAAUAUUUAAUUUCAUGGAGAUUAUAUGUGGAUCUCUUGGAAAAUUUAAUUUAAGGAAUUGCCAUUUUAAAAUAUAUAUAUUUUAUAUAAUUUCCAGGGUUCUUGGAUUUCCCCACAACCACCAUCCCAAAGCCCAUCUGUGAUAAUGGUAGAAAGAAGUGGGAUGUCUGUAGAGUGUAGAUCCUGCUUCUAGAGACUUGAACACCUUGUUUUUGUUUGUUUGAGACAGAGUCUUACUCUGUUGCCCAGGCUAGGGUGCAGUGGUGUGAUCUUGGCUCACUGCAACUUCUGCCUCUUGAGUUCAAGCAAUUCUCCUGUCU